GAUGAAGAACGCAGCGAAAUGCGAUAAUUAAUGUGAAUUGCAGAAUUCCGUGAAUCAUCGAGUCUUUGAACGCACAUUGCGCCUCAUGGCAUUCCGUGAGGCAUGUCCAUCUCAGCGUUAGAAAAUAUUCUCAAAUUUUAGUUUUGUGCUAAAAUUUGGAUCAUGUCAAAGAAGCUAUUACUAUUAUUGUGAUCGCUCUUUGGAAAUUGAUAGGUCUUUGAGUUGUUACUCAUAGAACGUGAUGAAUCUUUCUUCGUUCUAUUGUAAUUCACUCUGGUAGUCCUAAAACUUGUAUGCCUGUGGCAUAUCUUGUAAUUUGACCUGAGAUUGGGUAGGGAUACCCGCUGAACUUAAGCAUAUCAAUAAGCGGAGGA
rnacentral:misc_RNA from 1 species